rnacentral:rRNA from 1 species
AAUCAACGCUGGCGGCGUGCCUAACACAUGCAAGUCGAACGCGAAAGGGGGCUUCGGCUCCUAAGUAGAGUGGCGUCCGGGUGAGUAACACGUAGGUAAUCUGCCUUCGGGUGGGGAACGAACCAGUCGAAGAUUGGCUAAUACCGCAUAAUGCAGCGGCACCUAAUGGUGAUUAGUUGUUAAAGCGGGGGAUCGUAAGACCUCGCGCCUGAAGAGGAGCCUGCGGCAGAUAGCUAGUUGGUGAGGUAAUGGCUCACCAAGGCUUCGAUCUGUAGCUGGUCUGAGAGGACGGCCAGCCACACUGGCACUGACACACGGGCCAGACUCCUACGGGAGGCAGCAGUGGGAAUUUUGGGCAAUGGGCGAAAGCCUGACCCAGCAACGCCGCGUGAGGGAGGAAAUCCUUCGGGAUGUAAACCUCACAAGCAAGGG